rnacentral:rRNA from 1 species
GGAGUUAGCCGGUGCUUCUUCUGUGAGUGAUGUCCUUCCUGCCGGCUAUUAACCCGCAGGCCUUCUUCCUCACUGAAAGUGCUUUACAACCCGAAGGCCUUCUUCACACACGCGGCAUGGCUGGAUCAGGGUUGCCCCCAUUGUCCAAUAUUCCCCACUGCUGCCUCCCGUAGGAGUCUGGGCCGUGUCUCAGUCCCAGUGUGGCUGAUCAUCCUCUCAGACCAGCUACGGAUCGUCGCCUUGGUGAGCCGUUACCUCACCAACCAGCUAAUCCGACAUAGGCUCAUCCGAUAGCGCGAGGCCCGAAGGUCCCCCGNUUUCCCCCGUAGGGCGUAUGCGGUAUUAGCCCUGGGUUUCCCCAGGUUAUCCCCCACUACCGGGCAGAUUCCCUAUGCAUUACUCACCCGUCCGCCGCUCGCCACCAGGGAGCAAGCUCCCCGUGCUGCCGCUCGACUUGCAUGUGUUAGGCCUGCCGCCAGCGUUCAAUCUGAGCCAUGAUCAAACUCUGA